UUAACACGCAUAAGAAAUUAAUUAAGUUUACUCAAUUAAAAUGUAUUUUACUGUCUAUGAUUACAACAACGCACCCCUCCCCACCCUCUGACGUGACGACAACUCAACGGUUGAACUUGAGUGAGCGCUGUUUGAACUUGCGGUUGCGCGCUGUUUGAACUCUCCCAGUCCAGAAAAGAACAGAUCUCUUCUCCUCUUCUCUUCUCAUCGGCGCAGAAUUGGAGCAUUUCCACCUGAAAUUAAGGUUAUGGAGUCAGUCGCGUCGCAGCAUUUUUCGGCUGUGAGUGACGCAGGACGGCGGUAUAAAUUUAGAAGUUUCCCCGCAGAGGCGAGUCCAUCUCCGGCAUGGGAACCAGCGCUGACCCGGUGAAUACUGGAUAACAGACCGGUUAUUACACUUGAAUUACUUUAAUGUUUAGGCCUAAAUGUUUAAUUUUUACAUCGAAAAUGUUUCUUACAUGAGUUUAGAUGUAGUCAAUAUUGUAUAACUUAUGUGUUAAAAAUAGAAUAAAAUAUGUUUGCUGUAAUGUUAGGAUAUUAAUUGACAAUAAAGGCCGUGUCAUGUA